rnacentral:rRNA from 1 species
UACGUAGGGUGCAAGCGUUGUCCGGAAUUAUUGGGCGUAAAGAGCUCGUAGGCGGUCUGUCGCGUCUGCUGUGAAAACUCAGGGCUUAACCCUGAGCUUGCAGUGGGUACGGGCAGACUAGGGUGCGGUAGGGGAGACUGGAAUUCCUGGUGUAGCGGUGAAAUGCGCAGAUAUCGGGAAGAACACCGGUGGCGAAGGCGGCUCUCUGGACCUGUCCUGACGCUCAGGCGCGAAAGCUAGGGGAGCGAACAGG